CUUGUCCAAAGAAGCCACCUUUUAAAACAGGACGUAAUUGUCCAGUGAUCACAUUUUGCCAUGAUGCUCUGAUAUUAAAAAUCCAUCCUGCGGGGAAAAAAAUGAUUUAUAAGAAAUUCCAGGAAUGGAUCAACUGGCAGCGGAAAUGAUGACAGUGUUUUAGUCUCACUGUCAUUUACUUUUCUUGAUGCUGAAAAUGUAUUUGGAACAGAAUGAGAUGUUUACUAAUCAGCAGUACAAGGAGAUACAGGCUGAAAAAGGAAUCACUUACAGUAUGAACUGGGAGGGGCCCAGCGCUGGCAGCUACUUUGGGAAAGAGUCUUUGGCUCUUGAACACAGAACUAUGUCCCCUGAGCUUCUGCUGCCUACUCCCUGGCUGUUUGUCCCUGAUUAGGGCCGACUUUAUCUCCCUGGAGUGACAGGGACUUUCUCUAAUUCACAGGCAGGAGUCACAGAAGUCAGUAUUAGCCCUGGCUUUCUCAUCUCUUCUCUGGCCACAACCCUAAUUCUGUGUGCUUCAAAUUUAGGGCAAACCAGAGAUACAUUUAUGGUUCAUAUUAUUCAAAGAACAAAUUUUACCUUCUAGUAUAACUUGUAGUUACCAGUUGGUCUUAAACUGAGCUGUUUGUUUCUAACUCUCCUCAUGUUUUGGUGCAAUCCCAUUUUCCCUCAUAAUAUUACCUCCGUGUACCUCUCCACUACAUGAGAAAUAUACUUGAAUAUACUAAUAUGUGUUAUUUUCAGUUUUUCUAUCAUAUCUAGCUAUGACUAUUGCCUGAAGCAAAAGGACCUUAACCAAUACAUUAGCCUAAGAAGUUGUGCAAGCAAACACCAGGAUUGCUUAAUCAACAUGGCAGCUCUAUCUGCAAAGGUUUUUUUUUUUUUUUUUUUUUUUUUUUUUUAAGCCAAAGUAGUCUUGGCUGUAUUAGCAGCAUCAGGCAAUUACGGAAUCUGCUGCAAUAAAUGGCCAAGGUUAUGGCACCCAUAAAGUUUAAUUUGCAUUCUGAAUAUUACAAUGUGUUCACUGAGAAUGCAAAGCAGUCUCCGCAGGAUGUGAGCAGCUAAAUUACAGAGCAUUUUAGGUUGUUUUUGAUUCAUGCAAAGGCAGGAGGAUGGCUUGCUGGUGUGUAGUCGGCCUCAACCUUUGCCUCCUUCAGCAGGAUGUAAGGAGCAUGGAAGCAGAUGGUCCUUCUCGGCUGCUCUUGGAGGAGACACAGUCACCAGAUGGUCUGAUGUAAAUUGUGACUGGGCUACACCACAGCCAAUUGGAUUAUCUGGGUCAUUUGGGGUAUUCAUGUAGAUGACCAGAAGAUUGAUCAGGUUGCCAUGAUUGGAGCCUGUUGGUACAUGGAUAAAAAUGAUUUAGCCAAUUGCAUCAAGUCUGUCUUAUUCUAAGUCACCCCAUGAGAAACUGAGUUGGUAUCACACAGGGCCUCUAAAAUUGGGUGAGUGUCUCAUUGACAGAGAACUAAAAUGUAUAGGAUAUCGUAUUUCCAGAUCAACAAGAUGUACAGGGAUCACACUGCUACAGGGGAAGCCAGUCUUAGCCUGUAGCCAUUUUGGAUGCUUCCUCACAUGGUACCCUACAUGUUUGCAUCAGUAGGUGGGAGGGGAGGCCAGGGCCUAACUGAUGCUGAGCAGCUUCUCUGCCUGAUGUAUGGUGAGUGCCUGUUCCCUUUUCCCCAAGUGUCAGAGUCCAUGGAUAGCUUCCCAGUUUGCAUAAGGGGCAUCUUUCCGGGAUGUCUGUGCUCCACUUCUCUGCUGUGUCAUGGCCACGAGCAUCAUGGGUAUAGACUGAGGAAAUCAGCAGAAUUCUUUCUGGGUAAAACAAGGUGGAAUUUUAGGACAUCAGAAGAGACCAAAAGUAAGAGUGAGAAAGUGGCUAGAAAUAUCUUACCAUUCUUUCUCCUUAGAAAUAUGACCCUGCAAGCAGGUGAGGGCCCUCACUCAUUUGGCUAAAGCUCCAGAAUGUCAGGGGGCAGGGAGAUGAGUGAAGGGUGAAUAAGAGGCAGAGAGAGGAUGGAGGUCAGGGCUGCAGACAGAGCCUGGGACACAGUCCCCUCAUCCCUGUGAGUGAGGAGUGGUGGGGUGAGAAGUUUGGAGGGCAGUGUGACUGUGAGCAGCACGGCUGACCAUUCACUCUGGAGGGAAGUGUUCUGGCCCCUUUCAUUGCGCCACUGAAGGUAGGAUCAGGGGACCAGCUGAGACUUCUGACCAGCUCCUCCAUCUAAUUGAGAUUAAAAGUGUCCCCUCACGUCUUUAAUGAGUGUGUUGGCAUAGUAUUUUUUUAAAAGAGGAUUUUUUUAACAAAAAAGCAGACUCAAAGGCAUAGAGAACUAUUGGUUACCAGUGGAGCGAGGUAAAGGGAUGGGAUCAGUUUUGGGGGGGAGGGAUUGGGAAUUAUAGAUUAUUAGGUAUAGAAUAAGUUACAACGAUAUGCUGUACAACAUGGGAAAUAUUGCCAGUGUUUUAUGUUGGCUGUAAAUGGACUGUAACCCUUGGGGGUUUGGGGUCCCUGUGUUGUGCACCUGUAACUUGUAUGGUAUUGUAUAGCAACUAUACUUCGAUGAACAUAAAAAUAAAUAGAUAAUUUUUGGUGGGAAUUUGAAUUGGAGAUAUCUUAUGUAAUAAGGCAAAACACACACACCCACAUCAGCAAACAAGCCUUUGUAAAUGUGUAUAUGAGGCACACUAAACAAUUUAUAAUUAUUACUAUAUAGUCACUCAGAUAUAUAACAUGGAAAGAAAAUAAAAAUCACCCAUAACCCUCCAUUUGGGUUGUGGUGUAUAUAUUUCAUUCCCUGUGUGUGAGAAUAAUUUUGUAAGAGUUGCAUCAUUGGUGUAAACACACAUACACCCCUCUUACAUAAGCUUCUCCAUUUUGUAUGAUAAUCUUUCCUCCAUAUCAUUAAGUAGUUUCAGAAACAACAAACAACAUUUGAUGGCUAUAUUGUAACUUAUGUAAACUUUUCUUGUUUUAAUUUUCUAUUAUAGGGAACAUAUUUUUCUGCUAAUAAAUAAUACUGAAUGAACAUCUACGUAAGUAUAUGAAUAUCUGUCUUUUGGUUAAGUCUUUAGCUGUUUGAUAAAAGAGUUCUAACUGAAUUUUACUGCAGGGACAAAAGCCAUCAGGAAGACAGUGGUGAGAGACUCAGAGGUGCCCAUGGGCUCCAGCUUGCCCACUUCCCUCUUUCCACAUUCCAUUCUUGGACUGCAGGCCACUGUCCAGCAGUGGGCCCAGGCCUACCACCAAGGACUUGGCCCCCAUUGUGAGCCCAGCCCAGUGGCAGAAUGUACCUGCCAGCUCAGGUGGGCACCUGUGCUGCUGUCCCUGGUCCUGACUUUCCUCUGGUCCUUCACCACUCCUUUCUGGAUGAGGUCAUAUUACUUUAACACAUUUCUUAUUCCAUAACAUUCAUGGUGCUUCUGCCUCCCUGACUGAAUCCUGCCUAAUAAAGACAGUGUACCUCUCUGGGCUUCAACAUCCCCACAUGUGGAGUGGAACUGAUAAGUGCUUGUGUCAUACAGUUAUUGAUAUGUGUCAUAAAGUUUAAGGGAUGCUUAGAACAGAGUCUGUACAUAAGGAUUCUAAAUCUGACCUCUAUCUUCACCAUCAUCACUGGUAUGCUCAGGUACCUGCUGUAAGUUUAUAAUUUAGUCCGAACAUGAAUCUUAGCUUCUUUCUUUAAUUUGACAAAAAUCCAGAGACAUGGUAGAGCAUAAUAAAUUUUACUGGGCAAGUAUAGGUAGCUAUGACAGGGGAUUUUACAUCGUGGCAUUGCAAACAACUCCAAGUUGAAGAGAUAGAUUUCUUAUUAUUGAACUUUCUUCUGUUGCAGACCACUGGGUGCCCUCCUUGGUCUUUACCCAGUGUACCCAGAAUGUUCACCCUUGUGUCUCUUCUGGGCUAUUCUCUCCUUCCCUGCACUCCUCAUCUGCAAGUCUGUUUUCUCCCUCUGCUCAAGAGCACACCCUACUUAUUUCGUCCAGCAGAACAGCUGGGUCAUGGCUCUGUUAUCUAAACUAUUGCAGUAAUUCUCAACUGGGGCAAUUUUUAUCCCAAGGAGACAUCUGGCAAUGUCUGCAGACAUAGAUGGUUGUCACAACUGAGAGUGAUACUGUCAUCUAGUGGGUUCAGGCCAGGGAUGCUGCUAAACAUCCCAGAAUGAACAGGACAGCCUCUAUCUCUGACAAAGAACUAUAUAGGCUCAAAUAUUGCUAGUGCUGAGAUUCAGAAACCUUAAACUAUUACAAUACUCCUGCUCUCACAGCCCACCCCACUUAGCUUCCCAGAGUAGUUUUCCAAGGAAAGACAGUCUUCUUCCCGUGAGGAAUUUUGGAAAGGACACAUAUUUCCAAUUCUGUGCAAAUAGAAGCUGUGGCUCUUCCUACACUGUGACUCAGACUAUGCUCCAGUAGUUAGUCUGCAGGCCAGUUCCCACAGCUGGGCUGUCCAAUAGGAUAGCUUGUUGGUGCAUAUGGUUAUGAGAUUAUCAGUGUAAACAACAGGAAGACUUCAGCUUCCAAGUCAUACUGGCUGCAUGUCCCGUGGCUACCCCAUAUGCCUACCAAACUGGGCAGCACAGAAAAAGAACAUUUCCAUCUCCCUAGGAAGUUCUAUUGGUGAUGCCAUUGUAUGCCUCUGAAUGCAUACUCCCCCCUCUCUCUCUGGGCCUCUCUCUCAGUUCUCCUUACUUCUGGAUGAUCCAGUCAGUAAACCACUUUGGCCUUGCCACCAGAGCUGGCUAAAGGUGUAUAUUCGGCCUCAGGGAUGAGGAGAGUAAUUCAAAGAUGCAAGGCUCUUGAAAAGAGUAAUAAAGUCCUUGAGGGCAAGGACUAGUUCUUCUCUGAGGACCAUAGCACAUAGCAUGAUAACUGACACAUAGUCAGCAGUUAAAGAAUGAUUGUUUAAUGUGUACGGGGAUUGAUUUAUCUAAAAAGAAUUUAUGUGCUAGUUGCAUCUUGGGCACUCCACUAAGCAGAGUUGGCUAUGAAAUUCAUUUCAUAUAGCUAAAUAGAAGGGUAGAGUAAUAAACAGAGAAUGGGCAUGUGCUUUAGAAAGCUUGGAUUCUGUCCCUCACCAGCUAGGUGGCCUAGGUUGCUUGACCUACUUCUCUAUAAAGCAGGGAUUUAAUUUUUGACUUUUCUGCCUCCUGAGGUUUUUGUGAGGUUCAUAGCAUAUGUGAGAGCACUUUGUAGUAUAUAGAUACCAAUGGUUUUUAUUAUCACUGUAACACACAGUCAGUGGUCCCUGUUAGAAUUAUCAGGGGCCAUGUAUUUUCUCCCACUUGAACUCUAGCUUUCAGAUUUAAAAUAAUGUUGGCUUAUGUUACUACUGAAAACAUUUUUUAGUUACUUUGAGAUUAUCCUUUAUUCUCUGUUUUUUAUUUAAAAAGAAUCAGAGUUCUUGUUAUGGCUUUGUGGGUUAAGAACCUGACUAGUGUCCAUGAGGAUGCAGGUUCCAUCCCUCCUGGCCUCUCUCAGUGGGUUAAGGAUCUGGUGCCGAUUCAAGCUGCAAUGUAGGUUGUGGAUGCGGCUUGGAUCUGGCACUGUGGUCGCUGUGGCACAGGCUGGCAGUUGCAGCUUCGAUUCUACCCCUAGCC
rnacentral:lncRNA from 1 species